rnacentral:ncRNA from 3 species
UCCGUAGGUGAACCUGCGGAA